UUUUAUGGAGAGUUUGAUCCUGGCUCAGGAUGAACGCUGGCGGCGUGCCUAAUACAUGCAAGUCGAGCGAACGGACGAGAAGCUUGCUUCUCUGAUGUUAGCGGCGGACGGGUGAGUAACACGUGGAUAACCUACCUAUAAGACUGGGAUAACUUCUGGAAACCGGAGCUAAUACCGGAUAAUAUUUUGAACCGCAUGGUUCAAAAGUGAAAGACGGUCUUGCUGUCACUUAUAGAUGGAUCCGCGCUGCAUUAGCUAGUUGGUAAGGUAACGGCUUACCAAGGCAACGAUGCAUAGCCGACCUGAGAGGGUGAUCGGCCACACUGGAACUGAGACACGGUCCAGACUCCUACGGGAGGCAGCAGUAGGGAAUCUUCCGCAAUGGGCGAAAGCCUGACGGAGCAACGCCGCGUGAGUGAUGAAGGUCUUCGGAUCGUAAAACUCUGUUAUUAGGGAAGAACAUAUGUGUAAGUAACUGUGCACAUCUUGACGGUACCUAAUCAGAAAGCCACGGCUAACUACGUGCCAGCAGCCGCGGUAAUACGUAGGUGGCAAGCGUUAUCCGGAAUUAUUGGGCGUAAAGCGCGCGUAGGCGGUUUUUUAAGUCUGAUGUGAAAGCCCACGGCUCAACCGUGGAGGGUCAUUGGAAACUGGAAAACUUGAGUGCAGAAGAGGAAAGUGGAAUUCCAUGUGUAGCGGUGAAA
rnacentral:rRNA from 1 species